GUCUCAGCCGCCGCGGUAAUACAGAGGGUGCAAGCGUUAAUCGGAUUUACUGGGCGUAAAGCGCGCGUAGGUGGCCAAUUAAGUCAAAUGUGAAAUCCCCGAGCUUAACUUGGGAAUUGCAUUCGAUACUGGUUGGCUAGAGUAUGGGAGAGGAUGGUAGAAUUCCAGGUGUAGCGGUGAAAUGCGUAGAGAUCUGGAGGAAUACCGAUGGCGAAGGCAGCCAUCUGGCCUAAUACUGACACUGAGGUGCGAAAGCAUGGGGAGCAAACAGGAUUAGAUACCCUGGUAGUCCAUGCCGUAAACGAUGUCUACUAGCCGUUGGGGCCUUUGAGGCUUUAGUGGCGCAGCUAACGCGAUAAGUAGACCGCCUGGGGAGUACGGUCGCAAGACUAAAACUCAAAUGAAUUGACGGGGGCCCGCACAAGCGGUGGAGCAUGUGGUUUAAUUCGAUGCAACGCGAAGAACCUUACCUGGUCUUGACAUAGUAAGAACUUUCCAGAGAUGGAUUGGUGCCUUCGGGAACUUACAUACAGGUGCUGCAUGGCUGUCGUCAGCC
rnacentral:rRNA from 1 species